GCUUUCCGCUAACUACCACCGUCCUGCCGGGUUCCACACAGGCUGCUGCUGCAGUGGGGCAAACUUGAAAGGCUGAAGGCCUCUUCCACCGCAGACCUCUCACCUUGCCAGGAAAGAGGACUAAAAGGCAAAGGUAACCACGGCCCCAAAGGAGGCGGCGAACAGGAAGUGUCCAUAUUGCAGCGCUGAAACAGUAGCUCCCAAGACAGCCACCCUCUGAGGCCCCCUCGAGGCGGUGGAGGGGCGAGAGGGUGCCGGGGUCGCUCCCACACACACCCGGGACCCGCCUCUGCCCACCACAACGCCCGGCCGCCCCCGGCACCUCCCCGUGCACUACUUGGCGGGGCCCAGCCAGUCCCAACUGGGGCCGGACGAGGACUCCGAGCCCGACAUGUCUCGCUCCACUUCAAGCCAGAGGAGGGGGCGUUGCAAAGGCUCCGAGGUGCUUGGGGUACUUCCCUAACAGCAGAUUCCAGCCCCGAGCCGAGCCCUGAGGGUCCUUGGGGCCCCCUCCACGCCUUCCCGGAGAGACGACACCCCUCGCCGCGGUUUCCGCCGCGCGACAGCCCCUCCCGGGCGGUCAUUACCUCUCAGGAAAAACUCCUAACUCCUCACAAGCCACACUCCCCUCAGUUCGACAUCCCCCGGAGCCCACACACCACCCGAUACGCGCGCCGGGGACACCCCCGCGCCGGCGCAAAUUCCUCACUGGACAAAAAUGUCCGGGCGCGUCACGGGACAGCCGCCUCCGCGCCCCACGCCUGGCGCGGGUCGCUCGCGCUGCCUCCGCGCCCGGGAGCUGCGCCGCGGGCUGGGGCGGGGAGCGCCGACCCUGGAGGGGACCGCUCCGCCCGGGACUCACCGUCAGCUCGGCCGGGAGGCGAGGGACCGGCCGGGGAAGACACAAUAUGGCAGAGCACCGCAGCUGUUCCCUGCAGCUUCCAGCAGUCGCCUCCGGGAAGACGCGGCAACCAGCAGGCAGCAGCAGCUGCAGUGGCGGCCCCGGCAGCACCACAUCCCCCUCCCGCUCGCUUCCUCCCCCUCCCUCCCCUUCCCCGCUGCCAUGGCAACGCGGCGCCAAGGCGAUUAGCCCCACCCCUCCCUCCAGUCCCGCCUCCCGCGACCCCGAGGAAGGGGGCUCGGCCGGCCCCUCCCGGUUCCCGCCCACCUCCUACCGAAGGGAGGGGCCUGGGUUCCGGCUGGCUGCCUGGCACGGCGGCUGGGGUGGGGGUGAAAUGCAGGGUCCGGAAGGGCGGGGCUCACACGGAAAGCAGGGUGGAGGCGCUGUAGGCCGGUGCGGGUUUAGGGCUGAGCAGGGCAGGGGAAAGCGGGAAAAUGCAAAGGCCUCGCAUGUCCGAGGAAGGACCUAUAGGAGUGCGGCGGAGGCGCGGCGCGGCCGCUGAGUGGUCGAGGAGGCGCGGGGGCGGGGCUAGGCUGCCGCAGGGCAGUACGGCCCUCGGUGCCUGUGCCCGGGCUGAGGAGACCUUCCUCGACACCCCACGUUAUGUGGGUUUCCGCAAGACCUUCCGCCAUUGCCUGGGCUUUGAAAGCGCUUUAGGAACGAUACGGAAACGGAGGCUUAGAAGUGGAAACUUUACAGAUAUGGAAACUGAGACUUAGAAAAAUGACCCGUCAAAGGAAACUACUGGAUGAUUUGUUCCACCAAAUGAUGAAAUAAACCAAGAAAGAUCCAAGGAACAGGGGAUUACACACAGGAGUCAGGUGAAGGGCAUCUCCAGAAUGAUGACCAAAGGAAGUCCCUGAAGACCAACAGAUAAGACUAGGCCAGGUGGCAAGCCCAGAAAAUAACCUGUGUGAAUUAGGUGGGACUGGGGGCUCCAGGAAGGAUGGUGCCAGGAGGAAGAAAAUGGAACUACUAUUAGAUUAUCUAAGAGGUUGGUCAUGUGAAAGUUUUUGUUGAGAAGCAUUUUACACAGCUGUUGGUUUAUUGUGGGAACACUUACAAUUGGUUCAAUGAAAUCUAAGCAAAUGGAAAAACGUAAGCAAUUG
rnacentral:lncRNA from 1 species